GCCGAGUCAGCGCCGCUGGACCGCGUGGGGUUGGGCCGCGAGUCGUAACACUGCCUAACAGUGACCCGGGGCCGGGAACCGGGUGGGAGGUCGUGAGCGGCGCAAGCCUGGGCUCUGAAAGGACAUGGCUGCCGUAAAGCCCAGCCUGGGCCGAGUCCUCCCCAGAUCGUCCAUGCUUUUCCUGUGCGACAUGCAGGAGAAGUUCCGCCACAUCGCUUACUUCCCCCAGAUCGUCUCUGUGGCCGCCCGCAUGCUCAAGGUGGCCCGGCUGCUGGAGGUGCCAGCCGUGCUGACAGAGCAGUACCCACAAGGCCUGGGCCCCACAGUGCCUGAGCUGGGGGCCGAGGGCCUGCGGCCAGUGCCCAAGACCUGCUUUAGCAUGGUGCCCGUGGUGCGGCAGGAGCUGGACGCGCGGCCUCAGGUGCGCUCUGUGCUCCUUUGUGGCAUCGAGACACAGGCCUGCAUCAUGGAUCCUGUUGUACCCAGGGGGUUCUGCCCAGACCUGAGCCUCCCACAUCCCCGUCGCAGCAUCCCAGUCCCUCACCUGGGACCCCUGUUCUUGUCGGGAGUUGGCCCUGACCUCUUUCUGCCCCCAGAACACAGCCCUGGACCUCCUGGACCUGGGGUUGCAGGUCCAUGUGGUGGUGGACGCCUGCUCCUCCCGCAGCCAGGUGGACCGCCUAGUGGCACUAGCCCGGAUGCGGCAGAGCGGUGCCUUCCUCUCCACCAGUGAAGGGCUCAUUUUGCAGCUUGUGGGUGAUGCUGCGCACCCCCAGUUCAAGGAGAUCCAGAAGAUCAUCAAGGAGCCCGUCCCAGACAGCGGGCUGCUCGGCUUCUUCCAGGGCCAGAACCCCCUCUUCCGCUGAACUCCUACUCUGCCUUGAGGGGGAGAUCUCCAUUCCUCCUGUCACUGAGGCCUCUGUGGAAGUGCCUUCCCCCCAUCCUUGGAUCCCAAGAGUGGUGCAAUCCACCGGGAGUACCGCCCCCUCGGGAGGGGAGGCGGGUGCUGCCUUACCAUUGGGCAACAGCUCCCGGAAAUGCAAAUGUUACUUUGGGAGCUGGAUGACCAUUGGUGAGGCUGGGCUGGAGGCGGGGCUCGGCCCCGGGCCACUUCACGCGGGUGGGAAAAGGAGGGGGAGGGAGUGUCACAGACUGUGUGGGACCCAGACUCGAAGAAUAAACUGAUGUAGCUGUGGACUGAA